UGCUCAAUGAUUUUUUAAAUUGCUGUAGUAUUUUGACUAUACAAAGGUAUUGAAAUAAGACUUUAAUUGAGUGCUAAGAGAAUGGAAUUACAGGAAAAAUCUUUUUUAAACUUAACAAUAAAAGUUAUUUUUACUUGUGAAGAAGCAGUAAUAAAAAUUAAGGACAAGAAGACCCUAAGAAUUUUUCGAUACAUAUUUCAAUAAAGAAAAUAUGUUUCUUUAAUUGGGGCGAUUAAUUAAUAUUAAAAACUUUUUUGAAAAAACAUGAACCGUUUAAUAGCGGUAAAUUGGUAAAAAUACUCUAGGGAUAACAGCGUAAUAAUUUUUGAUAGUUCAUAUUGACAAAAUAGUUUGCGACCUCGAUGUUGGAUUAGGAUAUUUUUUUAAUGAAGAAGUUAAAAAAAAAAGUUUGUUCAACUUUUAAUUUCCUACUUGAUCUGAGUUUCAGACCGGA
rnacentral:rRNA from 1 species